rnacentral:rRNA from 1 species
UACAGAGGUCCCAAGCGUUGUUCGGAUUCAUUGGGCGUAAAGGGUGCGUAGGCGGCGCGGGAAGUCGGGUGUGAAAUCUCGGAGCUUAACUCCGAAACUGCAUUCGAUACUGCCGUGCUUGAGGACUGGAGAGGAGACUGGAAUUUACGGUGUAGAGGUGAAAUUCGUAGAUAUUGGGAAGAACACCGAUGGCGAAGGCAGCCAUCUGGACCGACACUGACGCUGAGGCGCGAAAGCCAGGGGAGCAAACGGG